CCGACCCACCCACUUCGUACCCGGUACUGAGCCAGCGCUGGCGCUGAAUGACACCGCCUUGGAAACUUUUACUGUCCGCACCGCUGAGUAGCGGCGGUAAUGGAGGCGCAUGCGACGAGUUACGGCGCGGAAAAGGAGUCAGCCAUAAGUGCGGUAAUGAACUGUCAUGGCCCCGUGAACAAGCUCUGGCCUGUUGAGGCGUGGACUUCACGAGACCUCUGAAGGUGUCCUGUGGUGUCUGGCACUAAGACGUUCGCAGCAGAUCCUUGUGUCAGGGCACAUAAUCCUGCUGAAAGAGGCCACUGCCAUCGGGGAAUUUGGUUGCCAUGAAGGGGUGCACUUGGUCUGCAGCGAUGUUUAAGAAGGUGGUACGUAUCAAAGUAACAUCCACAUGAAUGCCAGGACCCAAGGUUUCCUAGCAGAACAUUGCCCAGAGCCUUACACUGGCCCUGCCGGCAUGCCUUCUUCCCAUAGUGCAUCAUGGUGCCACCUCUACUCCAGGGUAUCGGAUCGAUUCUGGUCAUGCUGCUGAGGAAGAGUGGAUGCAAGGGGGAAAAAACCUUUAUUCAGUAGAUGAAAGUCAAUGGGCUUGGAAGUCCAGCUUGUUCUUUGCCAAUAUAGUUACUGUUAUUUCGACGAUUUACAUAUAUUCAGACUAUAUCUCCAGUAUAUCUACUAUAUUUGUAUCUCCAAUCUGUUCUUAGUGGCCAGGUGAACUGUUUAAACUUUCUUGAAUAAGUGUGGGCCUGGAAUAUUUAAUAAAAUGUUUGCCGAAAAUAAA